UUGUCAGCUGGGUGUGGCACAAAUGGGAAGUGACCUUGCCAGAGUGGUGGACCCAGGACCUGCAGAGAAGAGUGGUGCUGAGGAUUGGCAGUGCCCACUCCUAUGCCAUUGUGACUUUGACUUCAGCUCGGCGGGACUGCAGCGGUCUGUGCUUCUGUUCACGACACUCACCACCUGCAUUGAUGACAUCACCAUCACCGUCACCACCAGCGUGGAGCAAGACAGUGGCGAGAGUUUCCAGUAGGAUCCUUUCUCAGCGGGGCCCAGGGUGGCUCUGUUUGUUCCCUGUUUGGAAAGCUCUCCCAGGAAAAAGGUUCUCCUAGCAUCUCUAAACCCUCCCAGGUUCCCAUCCACCUACAAAGCUCAAAUCCAGACGGUCUGAGCGGGCACCGGCUGUCAAAAUCACCUGUGUGG
rnacentral:lncRNA from 13 species